CCACACACGACUUUUAUGCAUAACCCUGUGCAAUGGAUCUUGCACCCAACUAACCAAGGGUUACUGCCCAGGAUCCUCUGUAUCUGUGAGCCCAUACGUGGGAAAGGGGACCUAGUCUCUUUGUCUCCCAGGCACAGAAAGUCCGCCCUCACAUACUAAGGGGGUCUCCCACACCCAACGACAGGGAUCUUUAUCCCAGGAUCCUCCGCAACUGGGAGCCUGGGCGCAGGAAAAGGGACCCAGUCUCUUUGUCCC